GACGAACGCUGGCGGCGUGCUUAACACAUGCAAGUCGAACGGUGACCCAGGGCUUGCCCUGGUGAUCAGUGGCGAACGGGUGAGUAACACGUGGGCAACCUGCCCCUGACUUCGGGAUAACUCCUCGAAAGAGGAACUAAUACCGGAUACGACCACUUCGGACAUCCGAUGGUGGUGGAAAGUUUUUCGGUCAGGGAUGGGCCCGCGGCCUAUCAGCUAGUUGGUGGGGUAAUGGCCUACCAAGGCGACGACGGGUAGCCGGCCUGAGAGGGCGACCGGCCACACUGGGACUGAGACACGGCCCAGACUCCUACGGGAGGCAGCAGUGGGGAAUAUUGCGCAAUGGGCGAAAGCCUGACGCAGCGACGCCGCGUGAGGGAUGAAGGCCUCGGUUGUAACCUCUUCUAGCAGGGACGAAGCGAAAGUGACGGUACCUGCAGAAGAAGACACCGGCUAACUACGUGCCAGCAGCCGCGGUAA
rnacentral:rRNA from 1 species